rnacentral:lncRNA from 1 species
UUAAUCAUUUAUUUAUGGCAAGGAUUAAUUAAUAUGUUAAUUAAUCAAACGAAUAAGUUCGUUAAAGACCUUGGGAUAGUUUUGGACCUUAAGGAUGGGCUUCGAACGUCAAGCCCAUUAACUUAAGUUGUGUGACAACUUAAUGAAUAAUGAUUCACAAAGGCCCAAUUAGUCCAAAAUAUCCUAAUGGCCGGCCAUAUUGUUUAGGGUAGUGAACUUGGACUUAUUUACAAGUUUGCCACUCAAAUCAAUAAAGGUAUAAUAUGACUUUAUAGCUAAAAUUCAAUAAGGGUUUGUUUUGGAGAAAAUUGGUGAGAACUUGUCUCUCCAUUUCUCUCUAAAGAGGCCGGCCACCUUGGGGGGUGCAUCUUGCAAUCCCACUACUCCAAGGUCACUCAUUUCUUUUCCAAUCUCUCCUUGGUGAAGAGACUUAGAGGUUCUCAAUUUUGAGAACUUGGAGAAACCUAUUCUUCCAUCCAAAUCCAUAGAUUUAAGAUGCAAGGAAUGAAGGCCCUCUCUUUGGGUGAUUAGCCUUUGCUUAUGCAAAGAGGAAUCUACAAAGGUAUAAAUUUCAACUCACUUUGUUUUGAGUUGAGUUUUGGUUCACCAAUCUACUAGGCUUUGAAUUUCAUGGUUAAAGUUUUGUUUUUAAGUGCAUGCAAGCAUGAUUCCACCUUUAAUUGUUAAUUGCAUGCUUAUUGAUGUUGCUUAAAUGAACAUGUUAUCACAAAAUCUUCCUUCAGUUUGGACAUAGAAAACUCACGGGAAAACUUAUCCAGUUUUCCGGCAAGACAGCGAUUUUGCGGCCAUUUUCUGGCCAACUUCGACCACCACUCGGUCCCAACUUGGUAUGAAUAUCUUAUUCUCAUGUUAAGCUUCAUUUUGGUAUUUGAAACAUAAAAAAUGGUUGAGAAAUGAGCUUGAACGGAGCUCAGGAAAUUUGCCUAGAAACAGGCAAAAUCUCAGGCCUUGUGAGGAAGGCAAGUAAUCUUUACUCGCAGGUGCGUGGGGCUGCUCGUGGUGCAGCAGUGGCCGGCAUAUGGAGUACACGUGCCUCUCCGGAGGUACUGGCCAACUUUCUGGUGACUUAACUCGACUCAUAGUGGUGCGUGCGGUAGCGCGUGGGGGAAACCUGAGGUCCCCCCCUUAGGUUUUUCAACAUCCUGAAUCCGAUUACGAUCAUCUUUUUAGGGUUUACUAAAUUGUCUUCUUUUGUGCUUAGGUGUGUUGUUUGAGGUGACCCUAUCCUCCCUAUUGUUGAACGGCAUGUUGGUAACGAAGUAUCUAUGAGUGAACCCCUUCCAAAAAUGCAUAAUUUAAUUACUAGAAAUACAUACAUGAAAAACAUGAUUUUAUGACCACGUUUUAUGAAACUUUUAUGAGUUAUCGGAUUUACGCUUUAUGAAAUAUCGUGCGUUAUCGAAUUUACAUUAUUGAGAUAUUUAUGAAUAUGAUUUAUGAUAUGAUGUUUGAGCUAUUGAGCUCCGAUGGUAUAUAUUUUGGAAAGAUUUAUGUUCAUGAUUUUCUAUGCCCACUUAGUGGAUAUAUAUAUAUAUAUAUAUAUAUAUGUGUGUGUGUGUGUGUGUGCGUGCUUUCGAGUGGGUGAAGUAGUGCCUUCGGGUGGAAGAUAUAUACGUGGAGUAAAAAAUAAUCAAGAAAAUUAUGAAGGCGACACGUGUCCUUUAGGGUGAAAAGGACAAAAUUACCUUAAAGGCACACUGGGAUUCCUACGUGCAUGAAACUGACAAUAACGGCUCAAUUAAAGAAGAGUCAAAGGUGAUCAAAAUGGUAUCUAUUCAAAACCCUCUCAUCACUCCUCAUCAAAUCCUCACCCACAAGGUAACCCCUAAUUAUUCUUGUCAAAUUGGGAUUAAUUACCAAAUUAAUUGCAAGAUAUUAUUUGAAAUAAUAUCUUGCAAUUAGAGCCAAAAUUCCACCAUAAGUGGCCGGUCCCUAUUUCUCCAAAUAGGGCCAGCCACACCCCUAUAUAUAGCCCCACAUUUCUCCAAAACCUAAGUUCAUUAUCUUCCUAAAAAUUCCCUAAACAUUUUCUCUCUCAAAUUCUAACUUUGGCGUCGGAGAUUCUUCUACAAAAGCUCCCCCUAUUCAUCGUGGGCGUGUGAGGCUCUUGACCUUAAUCUUAGGUGUUAUUAUUUUGUAGGUGCAUUUUUGUCAAAGGAGAAGACGGCGGAAUUUGCAUCCACAAUAUAUAUGCCUUUGAGCAAGGGAUGAGGCAUACGACCCGAGUUACGAGGCAUUCCCAUAUCAGUGAAUUUGUGUCCUCCUCUCUGUGUAAGACAUCUCUUGUAAUCGCACUUUCUAAUAUUCCUUCCGCUUGUAUUUCGAAUUAGUAGUAUAUCUGAACAUGUCAUGCAUUAUCACUUUUUAAUUGUUGACUAUUGAUUAUUAUAUUUUAUUAAGGUUUGUACUUGAAUACCAUAUUGUGUGGUUACACACGAAAUUUUUAUGCAUGUUCCUCAUGUUCUAAACAUGCAUUCCUAAAAUGGCUUGCGUCACCCUUGGGUGUCGGCUAGCAUGUAGCCAUCCUAUUGUUCUUCGGACAUCGAGAUCGAGGCGUGUCAGUGUCCUAACCUACUAUGCCACAAAGUGGAAGUAACUUGUUGUCUAAGAAAAGUAGCCAUGAAUACCUGUGGUUGAAUCAUUGAUGAAGCUGACAAUGGAAUGAGAUACAAUCUAUUACUGCAUAUUCCAUUGAACAAAAUUCUCCCUAUGGCCUUGUCCUGUAUCCCGAAACAAAAUGCAUUGAAUAUUAGCCAACAGUUAUCUAAACAUAUCAUAUAUACAGAAAACAAAUUCUGUGUAAUUCUAGGCACAUGAAGAAUGGAGUUUAAUUUUAAAGGUUUCAUAGGAGUUUGGAGAAUAGAAGAACCAAUAUGAGAUAUUGGUAAACCUGCACCAUUAGCUGUCUAAAUGGUUUCAGUAGACGGGAAGGGUGUUGCCAAAGACAGGUUUUGCAAAUCAGCAGUCAUAUGAUUUAUAGCUCCUAAGUCAGUGAACCACAUUUGUUGAGGUGGUGCAUGUUGGAAAUGUGCCCUAAAACCAAUCAUAUGAUGAUACUUUACGGACAUUUCACAUGUUAAACUAAUCUAGUUUAAUAUCAAGGGCAAAGAUUAUUUUUUGAGCCGUCUCAUAUAAAUGUUAUACGCUUAAACGAUAAGUCUAAGGAAUAUGUGAUUGGGAGAAUGCGAUCUAAAGAAGUUAGAUUCAUGAGACCAUUCUUUCGUAGACACAUCCUAAACGUUCUGGAUCAUAUGAUUGCCAAUUGGGCAUUGACAGUCCGUUAAGAUUAGUACGUGCUGUGUCUUCUCUCAGGGAGAGUGACUAGUCUCGAGUCAUUGGUGUGUGUGACAUCAAGACAAGUACGUAGGUGCUCAAUAGAGAAUGAGUUCACUGAACACGAUCAACGAAGAGUUCUCAUAUUCAUGUCACAUGAGAACUUAUGGUUGGGAUAAUGCAAAGUAGUCAUUUGACCUGAGGCAUCAUAGUUGUCUUGUGGUUAGGUACUUGAUCUUUGAUUAUGUCAAAGUCACCCCAUCUGCGGGUGUCCACGGCAUCGUCGGGGUUAAGCCACUUAGUCAUGGAGGCGAGUGAAUGCGCAACAAGGGAUCUCUAACCUUCAAACUGUUUGAGGGAGAAUACUCUAUGAUAUGAUUAAGAAUCUCUGAUCAGAGUAUGAAUGAGAUUUAGGAAGUCGUUCCAAAUCACAUUCAAGGUAAUCAUAUAAGCACACGAAUCACAUUGGAUAGUAGACAUGAAUAAACUAUCAAACCAAACAAUGUGGUCAAGAGUAUUGUAUUAGAGAAAGACCGUAUUGCAUUUGUAAUCCUAAACUGAAUAGGUUCUCCACCUCUUCUGAUUAGCUUGGGUAACCAUGAUAUGCUGCUAGGUGUCACUCAUGGUUUGUGGAAGCCCUAAACGUGUAUAAUCACUAAAGGGAGAAUUGAAAGUAAGUUUCAAUUCACAAUCGAUUUGAAAUGGUUUUAAUCGCCCACUGCCUCGCUAAAAGGAACCUAAUGGAUCGUACACCGUGUAAGGUGGAGAUUGAAGAAACAAUGGAGAUGAGUAAGAAUAAUUAAAUGGUUUAAUUAUUUAUGGCAAGGAUUAAUUAAUAUGUUAAUUAAUCAAAAGAAUAAGUUCGUUAAAGACCUCGGGAUAGUUUUGGACCUUAAGGCCCAAUAGGCUUCGAACGUCAAGCCCAUUGACUUAAGUUGUAUGACAACUUAAUGAAUAAUGAUUCACAAAGGCCCAAUAAGCCCAAUAAUACCCUAAGGCCGGCCAUUUAGAGGAAGGGUAGUGAACUUGCUUUAAUUACAAGUUUGC